rnacentral:rRNA from 1 species
AACGAACGCUGGCGGCAGGCCUAACACAUGCAAGUCGAACGAAACCUUCGGGUUUAGUGGCGCACGGGUGCGUAACACGUGGGAAUGUACCUCUUGGUGCGGAACAACGUUUGGAAACGAACGCUAAUACCGCAUAAUAUCUCCGGAUCAAAGAUUUAUCGCCAAGAGAUCAGCCCGCGCUUGAUUAGAUAGUUGGUGAGGUAAAAGCUCACCAAGUCGACGAUCAAUAGCUGUUCUGAGAGGAUGAUCAGCCACACUGGUACUGAGACACGGACCAGACUCCUACGGGAGGCAGCAGUGAGGAAUAUUGCGCAAUGGAGGAAACUCUGACGCAGCCAUGCCGCGUGAGUGAUGAAGGCCUUAGGGUUGUAAAGCUCUUUCAGAUGCGAAGAUAAUGACGGUAACAUCAGAAGAAGCUCCGGCUAAAUUCG